CUAUUAAACAAGAUAAGAGUUUUUGGUGGAUGCCUUGGGUCUGGAAGUCUAAGAAGGACGUGAUUACCUGCGAUAAGCCUCGGUUAGCUGGAAAUAAGCUGUUAUCCGGGGAUUUCCGAAUGGGGAAACCCAAUUGAGUUAAUCCUCAAUUAUCAUUUCGAUGAAUC
rnacentral:rRNA from 1 species